rnacentral:rRNA from 1 species
CCUACGGGAGGCUGCAGUGGGGAAUAUUGCGCAAUGGGCGAAAGCCUGACGCAGCGACGCCGCGUGAGGGACGAAGGCCUUCGGGUUGUAAACCUCUUUCAGCGGGGACGAAGCGAAAGUGACGGUACCCGCAGAAGAAGCACCGGCUAACUACGUGCCAGCAGCCGCGGUAAUACGUAGGGUGCAAGCAUUGUCCGGAUUUAUUGGGCGUAAAGAGCUCGUAGGCGGCUUGUCACGUCGGAUGUGAAAACUCGGGGCUCAACCCCGAGCCUGCAUUCGAUACGGGCUAGCUAGAGUGUUGCAGGGGAGACUGGAAUUCCUGGUGUAGCGGUGAAAUGCGCAGAUAUCAGGAGGAACACCGGUGGCGAAGGCGGGUCUCUGGGCAACUACUGACGCUGAGGAGCGAAAGCGUGGGGAGCGAACAGGAUUAGAUACCCCAGUAGUC